rnacentral:miRNA from 1 species
UUGUGUCAGUUUAUCAAAC